UUGUUGAGAGAGUGGAGCUGUGAGGACUAGAUACACACAUGAUAUUGUUGAGAGAGUGGAGCUAUGAGGACUAGAUAUACACAUGUAUUGUUGAGAGAGUGGAGCUGUGAGGACUAGCUACAACAUGAUUUGUUGAGAGAGUGGAGCUGUGAGGUGAGGACUAGAUACAACCUGAUAUUGUUGAGAGAUGGAGCUGUGAGGACUAGAUAUACACAUGAUAUUGUUGAGAGAGUGGAGCUUUGAGUGGGACUAGAUACAACAUGAUAUUGUUGAGGAGUGGAGCUGUGGGACUAGCUACCA
rnacentral:lncRNA from 1 species